rnacentral:lncRNA from 1 species
UUUGUCUGUCCUCCUCUCAGGAACAGUAUAAAUUCAUAUACGAGGUGGCACUGGAAUAUUUAAGCUCCUUUUAGCCCAUGGGAUGGGGAAACCUGCUGGAGUCCACAGGCUGCUGCAGCCGAGCCCCAUUUUCUGUGAAUGGUAGUGACUGGGCUCAGUGGCACAAAAGUGACACCCGCGCCCAGCUCCAAGGAGAAGACUGAUGGUCCCAUGUUCUGCAGUGGGCUCUGCACCUUCUUAGGGGGUUUCCUGUAGCUGUGGGAGAUGCCGCACUCACAGGCCCAGGCUUCCCUUACACACCUGACCAGCCACAGCCCUGGGCCCAAGCAGAAGUGCACCCACAAGCAAGGCCCUGGACGUCCGGUUCCCAGACCUCUUGCUUUCAUUCUUUCCAAGUUUGUGAAUCUCAUGGCAAGCCAACUGUGCAGGUGCUAGAGAGUGGGAGGCUGGCCAAUACUUCUUUCACCCUCGUUCCCUUAGUAGUGUUGGGGAUGUGGGUUCCGCUUCUCUAUGCUGUUAUGGAUAAAACUGGGACCUUGGAAGUCAUUGCUCUGAUGCCCUGUACACUCUGUUCUUCAGGGGCCUCUGGUGCCAGAUACCUGCCAGUCUGGAUCAGUGUGACCUUGGAGUGGCCCCUAGACCACAGUGGAGGCCACUGUCCAUCCUCAUAUUGAACCUGCAUGGGGCUUGGCCCACUGCUAUUCUGUACUCCUUUCCCAACCCAGGCCCUGACCGUCUGUCAUUCACUGGCCAGCCAGCUGUGCCCACAGCACACACUGAUAAAGGUUUUCCAUGCUCCUUUGUGGUCUGUGGGAGGGGGUGCAGGGAAUGUCACUACUCCACUUCAUCUUUGUAAAAGGGACCACCUUCCCAGGGCAGGGCUCUGUCUGGUCUAAUGUAAACCCUGUGUUUCUUGGAUGAUAGCUUCCUUUAGGAGGAGCCAAGAAGAUAAGAUUUGAUUAUUUUCUCAAGUACAUGUGGAAAGAAACUUUCUUUUGAGAGUGUAAAAUUUUAGUCUCAUAUGUCAGGAAAUAAAAAAGACAGAGUGGGAAUUUGAAUGUGUAGCUACAAGAUAAAUCUCUUGAACCUAUUUUAUUUCCUGUCAUGUCCUUGAAAGGUCCCAACCUUGGUAGCACAACCACGAGGAAGGCAAUAUGGGCUAGUCAGAAUACGAUCCCUGGGUGCUAGGACAGAGAGAGUAUCAGCUUUGUGGAAAAUCUGGAUCUCCAAAUUUGUAUUCCCUAGAGAAAUACAGCUGCCAUCUUGAAAAAGGCCAUUGUGGACCCAUUCGUGCUUUGGUUUAAAAUUGACCAAGGGGAUGAGGCCUGGGACUCUGAGUCUUGCCCAAAGUAUGGAUGAGUCAAGAAAAGGGAGUCAACAUUUGCAAAUGUCUACUGUAUGCCAGGUGUCAUGCUUGGCACCAUCCCUAGUGACAACUGGCCUAGUCCUUAGUACCUCCCAUCAAGGAGCUAUUACCAUCAUCUCCAUUUUGCAAUUGAGGAAACCAACACACCUUCCUCAGAGAUGAAAUCCUGAGUCCCAAAAAGGCAGGUGAUGGAGCUGAACCUUCUCUGUACUAUUUUCUUCAAACAUCCCCAGCCAAGCAAUUAUUUUAUUGGAGAAAAAAUAAGGCUAGAAAUUUCUGAGCAGAGAACUCCACAAAUGGAAAUUUAAUUCUUUCUUUCUGAUGCCAGUUCUUCUGAGAAACCCAGAAUUUCAGAUAUAUUUUAGUAACUCAUUCCUGGUUCUCCAGGAAAACUUAGUCUUAUCUAAUUUCUUCUUCAUGAAAACCAUGUUCCUUUUCCCUCAAGCUACCAAGGAGUCACCCAGGGAUGCUUUACCUUGAUCUCUAGCCAGUGCUUAGGCACAGUAUCUGGCAGCCUCCCGUAGCCUGGGAUCUAGGAAGCCCCAUCUUGCAGGCUAGAAAUGGGGGAUAAGGGGCAAAGAAUUUGGUAAAGCACAGUUUUUGCCCUUUAGGGCUCACUAUAUCCUGGGAAAAUUAAACCACUGCAAAUGGUGUGAAUGAGUAUUACCUGAACCUGGGUGUGAGGCUCUACCUUUGGAUUCCUUAAAGAGGCAAGAUUCGUUCCAGCUGGGUCUCAACAGGUAGAUAAAGAAGAAAAGGAAAUUCAAGCCAAGGGAUCAGUCAGUGCAGUGGCAAAUAGGUGAAAAAGGCAUCUGGAGGGACAGACGGUGGGAGGCCAGCCCAGCGGGAGCACAGCAGGCCAGGGGAAAGUGGCAGGCAACGAGCCAGGGUCAGGGACACAGAUACCCCACCGAGGGUGCAGCCAUCACCCUGCAGGCAACAAGAAGCCUGCGGAGCUCAGCAAUGAUGUGCUCAGUUUGGUGUUGGAGAAGGCUCCCUCUGGACCGGUGGGGCUGCCUCUUUUCCUUUCAUCAGACACUGUGAAAACAUUCCCUUAAGCGUGUACUUUUUAAUAGCAUAUCUAUUUUGUCUGUCUGCUCAUUAUUUUGUUGCUGGAACAAAAUAUGCAGUGGAUCAUGAGACUCAGCUCUUGUGAGAAACCCAGGGUCUCUGCUUUAUCGUGGAGCAGGGUCAGCAACCUGGGCCUCUAUGCUCACUGGGACAGGACAUAAAAGGAGCCCAGGGAAGCUGCUUCAUUGGCAUGGACUCUGGAGCUGUCUAGAAGUCCAGGGACACCAGACUUGAUCAAGGAAGGGCUGUCACUUUGGAGGUUCAAAAGGAAACAUCUCAAAGCAAAGGCAGGCAAAGGAACCCCAUGACGAACUCGCUCUUCUCUUUUGAUGGGCCUCUUCCCAGGUGUAUUUGAGCAGGUCCCCAGGACCCAACCCCCACUGAUCCUGCUACCUUCACCUGGCUCCAGUCUACUGCCCCAAAUGAUCUUCCCCAGCCUCAAGGAGCCUGCAGCCUAUUAUAUGUUGUUUUUCCCCCAACAUCUUGGGUGGAAGGAGGGCUGUUUAACACAAAUCCUAUUAUUCUCCUCAGAAAGGGGUUAAACAGCUGACAGACGAUGAUGGCAAGCGUUUCCACCAUUUCAAAUGGCAGAAAUUUAAAGGGUGACUUUAAAUUGUAAAAACUCAGGCCAUAUGGGGUAACCCAACAAGGGCCAGCUCAUACCCUCGUUUUCUAACAACUUAGUCACCCUCCAAAGGAGGCUAGUGUAUGCAAAACAAAAUGAAAGUUUCUUGGUGGAGAUAACUUCUCUAACAUCCCACAUGGAAAAUAUGUGGCAAGUCUUAGACAAGAUGGGGUAAGAGUGCCCAGGAAUUUGGACUUGAUCCCUUACCCAGGAAAUCACCCAAGCUAACACCACCUCCCCAGAGUAUCUCCUCACCCCAUGGUAGUUAGAGGGUAGGCUUGACCUUUCAUGAACAGUCUCCACAACAGAAGCUAGAUUCAUGUCCAAGGCACCAGAGAGUCUCCUCUCUUAGCAAAGAUCUUCCUAAGAUGUUCACCUCCUAGACAUGAACUCCACUUGAAGAAGAUGCAAGGAAUUAAUCCAGGAACUGUCCCCACUGGCAUGUGUUUGUGGCCUAGAUAGCUUCAGCAAUCAGGAGCCUGCAGGUGUGAAAAUCAUGGGCCAUCCAGGUCUUCCAGGCCCCCAGACAGCCACAGCAGGCCUCCCUUUGUGGGAAUAGAAGGGAACAGCUUGUGUUAGGUAUUGUCCCUCUCUGCGGUGUGGCCUGAGUAGUGUCCCACAGGAUGUCAGACAUCACAUGGGGCCGAAAGACUCUGUGCUCCAAUUAUCCUAAGGAGUGUUUGUGAUUCUCAUAGCCCCAGCUUACCGAUGAGGAAUCAAAGGCUCCAAAGGGUCAGAUCAUGCUCAAAGUUCCACGGCUGGUGAAUGAGCAAGCCGGGACUUAAACUGGGUUUCCUGAUCACUGAGACAGUAUUUUUCCACAUUGUGUCUGAGUCUUUCCCAUGGGGUUAUCCAUACCUGCAGAGACUAGAGUGAAGCAGAUAACUCAGUGGAUCCCAGUAAAUCCCAAAGUGACAAUGGUAAGCUUAAAAUUCCUUAAAAAGUAUCCUGGUUUACUCUAACAAUUCAUGUAAUACCUGAAGUACACUUCCUAAUUUGUUCUGAUUAGUUUCGACAUGACUGUAAAAACACUAAAAGAAAAAAAAAAUGGAACCCUAUACCUCACAUAGCUUUGAUUUGUUCAGCCCACUCUGAGGGACCCUAAGGGAAUGAUGUCCCAGUCUGAGGCAUAGUAUGACUAUGCUGCUUUCUCCUGAGGCUAAUUCCAUACUCAAGCUCAAGACCAGCUCACCCCCGCCCCAAGCAGAACCUUGGUGUGGAGGCGUCCUGACCUCACUGUUCCUGAGUUGACCUCAACUAAGGUCCCUUCCAGUUAGGUGUGGAAGAAAUCAUUGACCUCCUAGAAGGAUGAGGACUUGCCCAUCUGGCAUGGUGAAAGCCAAGCUGGAUGCAGCCUUACACAGCAGAUUCCUGAUUCCUGGGUUUUAGAAGGUGGUACCCAUUGUCAAGGUGGAGGGCCAGCAUGGCUGAUGCAGGCAAAUCUGAGGCUACUCCCUUCAUAUGAAGGUCUGGAGUCUAGAAGUCCCCUACUUUAGCCACACACACUCACUGGAUUCCUGCAACCUGCAGCACCCUAGAGGGGGAGCCACCAGAAAGCACAGAUUACUAUGAUAGGAUUAGUAUGGCACAGUGCAGCCCUCGGUGAGGGAUGGGAUUGUGGUGGAAAGAGCUCAGUCUUUGGGUGAACCCUGACUUUGCCAUUUCUUGGCUAUGGCAUGGUGGACCAAACAUACAUGGGAAAAGGAACAUGAAAACCUGCUUCAGCAGGUUAGAAUGGGUAGUUUUGGAAAGCUUCGGGCAGGAAAACAGGAAGGCAAGGCCAGGGUAUUGCAACACAGUGAAUACUCAGAACCAAAAAUGGUCAUGGGCCAUUGAGCAAAGUGGGCACUUCUAUGACACAACAGGACAGGGGCAUAGGUAGGACUUGUCAGACUCACUUAACAGGGGUGCUACUUUGGAAGAGAUCUCGGCAUCUGGGGAGAAGAUGACUAUCUUCCCUGUGGCCAAUCAUGUUUAUUCAUCCUCCAUUUCUGGUUGCUGUGUUAACUCCUGGUGUGUCCUUACCAGGAUCCCUAUUUCCUAUGCUCUGUUGAGAACCCCUGUAGAGCACUAGGUUUGUCAGUCUAGGAAGGCUGCUGCAGACAAUAGAGGAGCAGCCCAGGGAGGAGUAGACAGGCACUUACCAGGUCAUCUCUGGAACAGUGACUGCCCAACCCAACUCAAGUCCAGAGACAUUAAAGUAAAUGACCAUUCACCUGGACCUCCCUUCCUGAGAGCAGAAUGAAGAAACCCACCCUUCUUUGGUUUGCAGCUGGCCACUCCUGAGCUGGUCAUCAGCACCAAGCUAAACAAGGAGUGAUACUGUGGAAGACUUAGGUGACCUCAAGGGUGAGCAUCAGUGGGAUGCUGAUCCUAAGCCUUAAGUUCAAAAAAAAUGUACCAGGCCAAGAUCCCCAGAGACAAUUUGCUAACCCAAGCUGAAGGACAAGUAAGAAGAUGAAACAUAAAUGUCAUGUCAUAUCAAAGUAUUGAUUUGCCCUCCCCAUCACCCAACCAACUUCUGAUCAGCUCCAAAUUACAGCCAAGCAUAACAGAAAUAGGAAAAGUAAAUUCAACUAGAGGAAACCAGCUGAGAUUGGAUCUUAUUCAUAUAUUCCCAUGCAAGGGCUCCCUGCUGGAACUUUCAGGUAUACACAUCUAGAAGUUUUCAAGGGCAGAGGCUUGGCUUCACCCAGACAUCAGUGAUGUCUAUCUGUGCAUGUGAACAGGCUCUCAGUUUCUUGAGAACCACGGAUAGAUUUUUGCAUGGUACUGGCUAUUCAGCUAGCUAUCUUAUAGAGAUUAAGGUCAUCUCUUGUGUAUCUCCUGCCCACCUCCAAAAGAGGUUGGAAAGGGUAACAAAGGGGCCACAUUCACCCCCUUAAAUCCACCCAUGAAUGUUAGAUCUCCAAGAGAAGGAAUCAGCAGUCACAAUGGGCCCCCACUCCUGGCUUUCCACCCUUCUAAGAGCAUAGUGGUGGUCCACUGAAGCCAAUACAAGGGAUGUGGGAAAGGUCAGGAUGGAAGAGAAUCUAUUGGAAAGAGCUUUGAGAUAUGGAUAACCAUCAAUCAUUCUUCUGUAUCUGAGAGCUGCUCUGGGCAGUAGGAGUCAGAAUUUGGUCCUUGAUUAGAAUAUUCAGAGAAUGAAGGCCUAGGGGAUUUGGAGUAUUAGGGAAAUACUUAUGUAGAAUUCUGGAGUUCAGGGUAAUUAGUGUAGUUCAUGGUUCCUCAGAGAAUGAGACUCUUGGAUUUAGGGGAGGAAGAGUAGUGGAUAAGGAACUUGCCAAAAUCAAAGUCCCGGAGUUGUAGUACUUUACUACCUCUGGGCUCAUGAAUGCAAGCUAGUGGGCCCCGACUUGAUGGUCCAAUAAACUCUCAGUGCCCAUUCUGCUCCAGUCCCUCCCAUGAAAGGUUAAUGGUGUAAAGUGUUUGGGCAGGUCAAAGCCCUCAGGGAUUUCUGGGAGCUUAGAGGGAAGAGUGGCAUCAUCCUAAGUAAAAUCAGGCUUCUGAAGGGUCAGGCAGAAUACCAGCCCCCAUAUUCCCCAAGGAAAUGCAGAUUAUUCAACAAAGUCAAGCACAGUUUGCUAUCCCAGGUCACCUCUGUGAGUGAAACUAGGACCAGUGGGUGAAACUGAGUAGCUGUAGGAAGAACAUACUAACUGCAGGAAAGCCCAUCUCAGCAGCUGCCUGGUAGAGCCACAUGUCUCCUUAAAGGGAAGAGGCAAUGUUGCUUAGAUGGCCUUUAAUUCACUUCCAUUCUAGGUGGGUGAGAUCUUGUGGUGCUGGGAUCAUGUUUGAACUCAUUCAUACCUGCAGAGCACAAAGCUGAGCAGGUCACACUUGAUUCGUGCAGGUUGAAGCCUUCUGCUUUCCCACUCAAGUCUCCCCAUCACAAAGGACAAGUUGCUGCUCUGGCCAGAUAUCCUGGGCUCAUCCAAGUGGGUUAUCAACAAACACCAAGCCAGAGGGAACAGCUGCUUUGCCACAGACCUGAUGCCUAUGGGUCUCACUGAUGAAAGUAGCCAUGACCCAGACCCAAUGGACAUCAGAGCCAUCAGUGACAGCUAGAUCCAGUAAAGGUCCAAGAAGGACCCAGAGCAGAGCUUUGCUUACCAUAGACAUUAUCUCCAAAGGUUAAUUCUAUCCCCAUUCCCCACUCGAGGCCUGUUGGAGCAGAUUUCAAAAGCACAGUGACUCAGUAGAUGCGUGAUUAUAAUCAUUCCCAGUGCAUAUAAUUCAUCUCAAGGUGGAUCUUGGGCUAGGCCCGGUUAAUCCACAUUGGUAAUCAAAUUCAAAAGCACUUUUCUACCUUCUCUUUCACUCUACAUCCUCAUAGCCAAUCAAAGGCAGAGUUGAGGAUUCUACCAUUGCCUUGGCUACAGGACACCCUCAUAGCUCUCUAAGGGCUAUCAUGAGCUUCCCCUGCAAAUCCAGAGAGGCUAACAUUUGCAUAUCCACUGGGCAUAUGAUAUUGCAUGAGACCAAAGUCUCCACGCUAUUUGCAGCCUCCUCCAUGAAUCCCAAUGGCCUGCACUUGUACAGUUUGGGUGUUUGAUAGAUAAAGCACGUAUGAGAAGAGAAAACAAAAUAAAUCAACUUUAAAAAAAAAAAAAAGCCAGCACUGUGCUGUCAAUGUUCUUCUUCUUCUUUUUUUUUCUUUUCCUUUCCAAUUCUAGCUUAAAAAAGCAGAAGGUAAAUAAUGUCAGGUCAAUGAAUAUCAGAUAUAUUUUUUGACUGUACAUUACAGUGAAGUGUAACCUUUUUACACCUGCAAGUCCAUCUUAUUUAUUCUUGUAAAUGUUCCCUGACAAUGUUUGUAAUAUGGCUGUGUUAAAAAUCUAUACAAUAAAGCUGUGACCCUGAGAUUCAUG